CCCCUGUCGACCAUCAAUGGAGUCAUAACUAAAGAAAUACAGUCCAUAAAAAAACUAGACGAUUUGACUUUUAUUUAAUAUCGAUCAGAGAAAAUACGGGAGUAAAAGGUACUGCCCAUAAGUUUGGUCCAUUCGAACCGUAUAUUGAAGUGUUUUCGGUAGUGUAAACUCGAAAAAUUAGUAAGUUAUGGCCGGCGGAAGCAGCAAUACCAUCUCCUUUAACAAAUAGUCCAGCAUUUGUGGAAACGCUGGAGCUCCGAGUAUAUAACUCAACUGCAGCAGAGAAAGAAAUGGCAGUCCACCUCUCCAAACCUUGAAGUAGGAUCAAUGGUGAUUUUAAAGGAAGAAAAUAGUCAUCCUCUAAAUUGGAGGCUGGGUCGAGUCAUUGCAGUCCAUCCCGAUCGCAAUGGAGAAGUUCGUACCGCCAGUGUUAAAACGAUAAGUGGUGUUUUUAAGCGUGCAAUCCAGAAACUUUGUCUUUUAACCAGUAAGUGGUGGAUAAAACCAGUUUAGUGGUGGUAAUUUAAUAAACCUUUAAGUCAACUAACAAAAAUUUGAUUUAUGUAAAAAAAAUUAAAACUGUUUAUAUGUGCAAGCCUAUAUUUAUAUGCCUAUAUUAAGUACCUACCUUUAUUAUGUAACUAGUUUAAGUUUAUAUUAUGUAAUCCUCGUUUAGACUCAUUGAGUCCUCUUUUGUAUCUUAGAUUUAAGUUAUAUUUAUUUUCGAAAGCGUGUGCUUUCAAGGCCGGCGGUUAUGUUACGCUCCGCAAUGAUUUUAAUAACUUUGUAAAAAUCUGGCAACAAGGCACGGUUUAAAUUUGUACCUCCAAGCGCCCGAGCUCGCUCUCUCCCCUGUCGACCAUCAAUCGAGUCAUAACUAAAGAAAUACAGUCCAUAAAAAAAAACUAGACGAUUUGACUUUUAUUUAAUAUCGUUCAGAGAAAAUACGGGAGUAAAAGGUACUGCCCACACGUUUUGUACAAAAUGUGAGGUUAACGUCGGGUCUCUCUUAGCAGUUUUAGUUUACAUGUACGGUUCGUGUUCGGGCGCUUUUUGGUGUCUUUUCUUUUUGAAUAAACCAGUUUAGUAAUUAGUAA